rnacentral:lncRNA from 1 species
GUCUCCAUUAUCCCUGGUUAGACUUUGAGACGAAUCUCCUGAGUCUUCAUCGUUGUUGAUGUCUGACUCCGAAAUUGCUACUUGUAAUUUCUUUAAAAAUUCUUUUUUGUUGGUCGAAGAAGAUAAAUCGGCCAAAAAUUUUGAUUUUUCAGCUAAGAAUUCUUCUUCUUUUUCUGAGGCCUCUUUGGGAACGAGGCACUAAGGAUUUUUAUUGAACCAAUCUUGUAAUACUUAUGAUUUAAUUAAAUCGGGGUUAAAUUUGUUCCACCAUUUAAUUCUUAUGCUCCGAACGAUCCAAAAGAUGUUGGCAUUUGGAACUGAUAAUUCUUUUUUGAAAGUCCAUGAAGAAAUCCACGAAAUUCCGAAAGUAGCAUGAAAAGCUAAUACCUUUAAAUGAUCUGGUACAUUAAUUCUUGAGCUAAAUGAUUCAAAAGCUAUAGCU